rnacentral:rRNA from 1 species
CAUGAAGUCUUUGCCCAUGCCUGAACAUACCUGAUCUUGUCUGAUCUCCAAAGCUAAGCAUGGUUGGGCUGGUUAGUACUUGAAUGAGAAAUCAAUUUUAUGU